rnacentral:siRNA from 1 species
UCAAAUGAGGAAUACUUUGCCA